rnacentral:rRNA from 1 species
GGGAAUAUUGCACAAUGGGCGAAAGCCUGAUGCAGCGACGCCGCGUGAGGGAUGACGGCCUUCGGGUUGUAAACCUCUUUCAGCAGGGACGAAGCGCAAGUGACGGUACCUGCAGAAGAAGCACCGGCUAACUACGUGCCAGCAGCCGCGGUAAUACGUAGGGUGCAAGCGUUGUCCGGAAUUACUGGGCGUAAAGAGUUCGUAGGCGGGUUGUCGCGUCGUUUGUGAAAACCAGCAGCUCAACUGCUGGCUUGCAGGCGAUACGGGCAGACUUGAGUACUGCAGGGGAGACUGGAAUUCCUGGUGUAGCGGUGAAAUGCGCAGAUAUCAGGAGGAACACCGGUGGCGAAGGCGGGUCUCUGGGCAGUAACUGACGCUGAGGAACGAAAGCGUGGGUAGCGAACAGG